rnacentral:lncRNA from 1 species
ACAGAACCAGCCGUAAUCCUUUAUGUUGCUGUCUCCUCAUCAGCCAUGUCUGCCUGAGUUCAACCUGAGCAGCUUCCCUCCACUCUCUGUAAAGCUGGUUACCAUGACAACACCUGCAGCGAACAGUAUGGUACAGGAUCCAGAGGCUCCUCCCACCCCGAGCUGUGCGCAGACAGAAGAAGCUCUGCAGAGCGUGAAGGAGAACGCAGAGAGGAGCGGGGAAGCCAAGCCGCCGCAGCUCCCACAGGAAACAGUCACGGUGGCUGAGAAACCGAGCUACGCCCAGGUCAUCCAGGGGUCAUCCAGGACUGGCUGCUGCGUCUCGCCAACCGCUUCCCUUCAAAGUAGAGAUGGAGGGAUUACAGAAGAACCCACUUGCACAGGGGAGAGAUGAGAGCUGCUGGAUGGAGAGUGAGGAGAGGACGAUGGAGGCGGAUCUGCACCUCAACUCCAUGUUUCUUUUCACAAGACGACGACGCAUUGAUUCACUCUGGUUGUGCCAGACGUCCUGUCUGGAUUGAUUUCUUUCUUGUUCAGUUUGAGACCCUGCUCUGAGGCUUCUUAUUUGGAUUUGUUUCUUGUUUUUUCCUACGGUCCAAGGCUGGCAGGAAAACUGCUUUACAGUCUUGAUCUUUAGUGAUUACUGAGGAUUAUUUCUUGUUGUGUUAGUUUUCUAUCUUGAAUAAUUUAAUUGUUUUUAAUCCAUGUUGAAAGUGGUGACACAGUACAGUUUUAACUGGUCGUUUAAAUGGUGUCAGUCGUGUUUCUGUGCAGUUGAUUUUUUUCUCCCUCAGGGUUCUACAAACAGACUCAGUUUUAACACAAACUUCCAAAAUGUUUCUCAAAACAUUAUUUCAUUUUAGUUUUGUUUGACUUGUGUUUAAAAUAUGAAGAUGUUGAGUUGUUCAUUUGAAAAGAUGUAAAUAUUUUGAGCAAAAUACCAAAGAAGUGCCUUUUGAACAUCCAAACUGUCUAUGUUUGUCAUUUAAAUAAAACUUUUUGCACAGUUGUAGAGGUGCAUGUUUGCAUGUCCUUUGGGAAGCUGCAGUGUCACACUCUGACCAGCAGAUGGCAGACGAGCGUCGUUUCAUUUCUGCUCUGCAUCAAGGUCCAUGAUGUGAUUUAAAAUAUAUAUGGAAAAAGAACAUGUAUGUGAGUGUACAAUUAAAAUGUAGUAACGUGUUUGACCUUUAACCUCUUAGUGCUUGAAUUUCCAGCUUUGAGUUUUUUCUUUGAAUAGAUAAUGAAUUGUGAUAAUUUUUACAGAUAAAGUGGGUUAAUACACAUUUGCAUGAAUAUGUGUCAAGGAAUUAAGCAUCAAAAAAUGU